CAACCAAACUAAUUAAUUAUGAUUCAGUCAUUAAAUUAAUUAUGAUUCAGUCAUUAAAUCAAUCUUUCAAACAAUUUUUAAAUUACAAGUGCAUAUUUAUAUUAAUUCAAGACAUCAUAUACAUAGAUAUAUAAAUGUAAAGGUCAAUACAUCAAUCAACAUAUAUAUUAAUUAAAUUCAAAAUCUCAUCAAAACUACUCACCAACCGAAAUAAACUACUACCAUCUUUUCAAGUCUUAACUGGGUUAUAAUAAUAUGUAUCACUCAAUUAUACACACAUUUAUACAUCAAAUUCACAUACACCAACUAGAUUAUUCAAGCUCAUUUAUUUAUCC
rnacentral:lncRNA from 1 species